AAGUAUCACCUCAUUUCGGACGAGGGAUUUCCAAACGCACUGCUCUUCUCUCUUUCGAACGGGCGAUCUUCAGAGCUCUUCCCUCUUCCGAACGGCGCAAUCUUCCUCGCCAGAGCUCUGAAUCCUUGAAGAAUUUCCUCGUGCCAUGCAGAUUCAUCUCAAAUAGAUUCUUUUCAAGUAUCCUCCUAGGAAGAGCUUUGCUGCAAAUGACAUGUUUGGUUUCGAUCUGUUCAGACUAGGCAAAGCUGGAUUGAGGAAAUCAAUCAACGGCAAGCAGAAGUACUUGAUGCCCAACUGACGGUUGAGCAGCUUCAACAACAAUAUCAGUUGCUCAUGGCCCAAAAUGAGAUGUUGAAGUUGGUUGCAGUAUGCUGAGCGGAUUCCUAUUGGGUUGGAAAAGGUGAUUCGAACAGUUUCUUCUGAAACGGUCAAGCAAUUUUAUAAUAUAUGGUACCAUUUACACAAUAUGGCUGUGGUCGCUGUUGGAGAUUUUACUGAUACACAGGCUUGAAUUGUGUAGUUGAAUUGAUAAGGACUCACUUUGGGGGAAAAGUUUCAAUCUCCACCCCGCCACUUUUACCAGAAUUUCCUGUUCCAUCUCAUGGUGAACCACGCUUUUCAUGUUUUGUUGAAUCUGAAGCUGGUGGGUGACUAUUUGUUCAAGCUCUUGCGUAUUGGAGAUUCUGGUGUUGGCAAAUCACGUCUUCUUUUGAGAUUUGCGAUAGGAUCCACAGCAAAAUGGGUGAAGGUUAGUUUCUGCAACUAAAUAAUCUGAAAACCUCCCCUUGUCUACUUGCAUGGUACUUUCAGCAGUGUGUGCCUUUAGAAGCACAGCUUGUAACCAGUUUGGCUGCCUGAUUGGUAGUUCCAAAUGCAAGAUCAUGCAUCUGGAGAAUGCUGUGCCCCCGAGCUGGUGAGUUGGCCAAAAAUGUUUCGAAAAUGAUUGAUUCUCAUUUUGCAGAGAAGAUUGAUAUGUCAGAAGUGCAGGUAAUUAACCAUCUCAUAAUGGGAGGAUUGCCACCUCAUGUUGGUUUGCACGAGUUCUUCAAUUCAUGUGCAUGAAAUUUCUAUG